CACCCGUAAUCAUAGAUAUACAAACACAUGGAUUGGAAACGGCCCGGUAUCACGUGAUCAUUUCAUUAACAUUUCAAUGGGAGAGGCUACAACUGGAAAAAAACCUAGGCGUGUUACGGGUUAAAAAUAGAUAGUCAGGGAUAUUCUUCAGAAAAGUCUUGAGAAAAUCAACUGUCUAAUGACUUUUUAAGAUUUGAGAAGUCUUCGGGCUAGGAAAACUUUGGAUGCAUAAAGUUCUCUUUUGAAGGCUGUGUUUUAUUGAGGAAUCAUGAAUAAUCGGACCCACGGUGGAAUUUCUUCCUCUCGCAACUUCAUGACAACUAAUGAAGAAAAUCUGUAGUAUUAAUAUGGUUCCCUAAGAAACUCUCCAAUGUAAUGAGCUACAAUGAAGUGACUGUGUUGUUCCUGUGGAUAUUUUUAAGGCUGUUUCUGCCAUGAAGAAUACUGCCAUUUAUUGAUCAUUUUUAAUAAACUUACUAUGCAUGCAACUUUUAUUUGAUAGUGUUUACAUUAUAGAAUUGUUAUCAAGUGUCAGUGAUACUCUAGAGUCAAGAAAUAUUCAA
rnacentral:lncRNA from 1 species